CGAAACGUCGGAGACGUUGAGGCGCAGGCUGUAAUCUGGGCACCUCGCCUGCGCCGAGUCUGAGGUGCAACCGGCCGACCCUUUG
rnacentral:ncRNA from 2 species